rnacentral:rRNA from 1 species
CGCUUACCAUGCAGGUCGAACGAGAAAGGGGAGCAAUCCCCAAGUAAAGUGGCGUCCGGGUGAGUAACACGUGGAUAAUCUACCUUCUGGUGGGGGAUAACCCUGGGAAACCGGGGCUAAUACCGCAUAAGUCCGAGAGGAGAAAGGCGCAAGUCGCCGGAAGAGGAGUCCGCGGUCGAUUAGCUAGUUGGUAGGGUAAAGGCCUACCAAGGCAUUGAUCGAUAGCCGGCCUGAGAGGGCACACGGCCACACUGGCACUGAAACACGGGCCAGACUCCUACGGGAGGCAGCAGUGGGGAAUCUUGCACAAUGGGGGAAACCCUGAUGCAGCGACGCCGCGUGAGUGAUGAAGCCCUUCGGGGUGUAAAGCUCUUUCGACAGGGACGAUAAUGACGGUACCUGGAGAAGAAGCUGCGGCUAACUACGUGCCAGCAGCCGCGGUAAUACGUAGGCAGCAAACGUUGUUCGGAGUUACUGGGCGUAAAGAGUGCGUAGGCGGUCCGCCAAGUUUGGUGUGAAAUCUCCCGGCUUAACUGGGAGGGUGCGCCGAAAACUGGCGGGCUUGAGUGUGGGAGAGGGAAGCGGAAUUCCUGGUGUAGCGGUGAAAUGCGUAGAUAUCAGGAGGAACACCGGUGGUGUAGACGGCUUCCUGGACCACAACUGACGCUGAGGCACGAAAGCGUGGGUAGCAAACAGGAUUAGAUACCCUGGUAGUCCACGCCCUAAACGAUGCAAACUUGGUGUAGGCAGUUCAGUCUGUCUGUGCCGGAGCUAACGCGUUAAGU